rnacentral:rRNA from 1 species
CAGUCGCCGCGGUAAUACAGAGGGUGCGAGCGUUAAUCGGAUUUACUGGGCGUAAAGCGUGCGUAGGCGGCUUCUUAAGUCGGAUGUGAAAUCCCUGAGCUUAACUUAGGAAUUGCAUUCGAUACUGGGAAGCUAGAGUAUGGGAGAGGAUGGUAGAAUUCCAGGUGUAGCGGUGAAAUGCGUAGAGAUCUGGAGGAAUACCGAUGGCGAAGGCAGCCAUCUGGCCUAAUACUGACGCUGAGGUACGAAAGCAUGGGGAGCAAACAGGAUUAGAUACCCGAGUAGUCCCUGUCUUUUAUAC